AAAUGAGAAAAAGAAAAGAAGCAACACAAAGUAUAAAUGGAAAAGGACAAGGGGAGGGAAAGAUCUCGUUCUUUGAAGAUGUUCGAUUGUGGGAGUGAUAGGAAUCUAAGGUGAUCCAAGCACUUGCAGACAAAUCCGUUUCAGAAGAUAAAAAAGAAAUUGCCCUUUAUGUGGAAUGGAAAAAGAAAUUGAACUCUGAAGCAUCCCCUAGACUCCUUAUUAAAGUCCAUACCCUAAUCUCUCCAAACUAACCUUAAGACAUGGUCUUCCAGGUAGAGUAUUUUCAAAGCUAUAGCUAGCUACUGCACUUGAUGCCAAAUUGCCAACUUAAAAGCUGCUUGGUUGGUUUCCAAGUAGAAAACAGUACCCUAUGAAACUAAGAGGGUCCCUUUUGUCUUUUUGGUGGAAAACUUGAGAUUGUGGAAACUAGGAAUUAAGGGACUUUCUCCCCUCUUAUUGUAUAUAUGCUUCUCAAUUCCUCCUACCUAGCUUGGAUCACUUUCAGAUCAUCACUUCCGGAAGAAACAUCAUCAAAGAUCAACGGACUUUCUUCAGUGUUUUGGAAGGACGUAAUAGACCGGAGUGAUAAAGAAGAAUGCAUUUUGCGUUGGUUCUCUUCAACUUUGGCUAGAAAGUUCCACGCGUGGACAUAUAAAUUGCCUCUACACAGGCUAAUGCAGCGGCGUGUUACAAGUAACAAGCAACAAGGCUGUGUGAUGUGAUUUGCACGAGGGUGUAUAUAUAAAAGCAAGACCUUGGCUAGCUAGUUUCAUAGAUGGUCACAAAUCACAAUGGUUGUAUUCUGACCUUGGCACUUGGCAGCUAUUAAAAUAUACAGCGCUGUAUAAGCAACAAAGUGAUACUUUAAACAUUUUAGUAACAAUUCUGUACCCAAAAAAAAAACUUGGUGAUAAUUCAACUGUAGAACAUUCAAAGAAUGUAACUCAUCUCUUCUUAACUCUAGGAGAUUAUAUAUUUGGUGUUUGAGUGUAUUAAAA